UACGUAGGGUGCAAGCGUUGUCCGGAAUUAUUGGGCGUAAAGAGCUCGUAGGCGGUCUGUCGCGUCUGCUGUGAAAACUCAGGGCUUAACCCUGAGCUUGCAGUGGGUACGGGCAGACUAGAGUGCGGUAGGGGAGACUGGAAUUCCUGGUGUAGCGGUGAAAUGCGCAGAUAUUAGGAAGAACACCUAUGGCGAAGGCAGCUCUCUGGGACGGUACUGACGCUGAGACGCGAAAGCGUGGGGAGCGAACAGG
rnacentral:rRNA from 1 species